UGGUGGCGAGUGGCGAACGGGUGAGUAAUGUAUCGGAACGUGCCUAGUAGCGGGGGAUAACUACGCGAAAGCGUAGCUAAUACCGCAUACGCCCUACGGGGGAAAGCAGGGGAUCGCAAGACCUUGCACUAUUAGAGCGGCCGAUAUCGGAUUAGCUAGUUGGUGGGGUAACGGCUCACCAAGGCGACGAUCCGUAGCUGGUUUGAGAGGACGACCAGCCACACUGGGACUGAGACACGGCCCAGACUCCUACGGGAGGCAGCAGUGGGGAAUUUUGGACAAUGGGGGAAACCCUGAUCCAGCCAUCCCGCGUGUGCGAUGAAGGCCUUCGGGUUGUAAAGCACUUUUGGCAGGAAAGAAACGUCAUGGGCUAAUACCCCGUGAAACUGACGGUACCUGCAGAAUAAGCACCG
rnacentral:rRNA from 1 species